rnacentral:rRNA from 1 species
AGUAAAUAGAUACCCAGGUAGUCCACGCCCUAAACGAUGGAUACUAGGCGUAAGAGGUAUCGACCCCUCUUGUGCCGCAGCUAAACGCAUUAAGUAUCCCGCCUGGGGAGUACGGCCGCAAGGUUGAGACUCAAAUGAAUUGACGGGGACCCGCACAAGCGGUGGAGCAUGUGGAUUAAUUCGAUACUAACCGAAGAACCUUACCCAGACUUGACAUCGAUCGCAAGCCUUAGAAAUAGGGCCCUCCCCCACAAGGGGACGUGAAGACACUUGUUGCAUGGCUGUCGUCAGCUCGUGCCGUGAGGUGUACGGUUAAGUCCGCCAACGAGCGCAACCCUCGUCCUGUGUUACCAGCAUGAAAGAUGGGAACUCACAGGAGACCGCCGGUGUAAAUCGGAGGAAGGUGGGGAUGACGUCAAGUCAGCAUGGCAGUUACGUCUGGGGCUUCACACAUGCUACAAUGGGCGAAACAGAGGGCCGCAAUACCGUGAGGUGGAGCAAAUCCCAAAAUACGCCCCAGUUCAGAUUGCAGUCU